AGUCAAUAGAUACCCCGGUAGUCCACGCCGUAAACGAUGAGUACUAGGUGUAGGAGGUAUCGACUCCUUCUGUGCCGCAGUUAAACACAAUAAGUACUCCGCCUGGGAAGUACGGUCGCAAGAUUAAAACUCAAAGGGAUUGACGGGGGCCCGCACAAGCAGCGGAGCAUGUGGUUUAAUUCGAAGCAACGCGAAGAACCUUACCUAGACUUGACAUCUCCUGAAUAGCGUAGAGAUACGUGAAGCCCUUCGGGGCAGGAAGACAGGUGGUGCAUGGUUGUCGUCAGCUCGUGUCGUGAGAUGUUGGGUUAAGUCCCGCAACGAGCGCAACCCUUAUCAUUAGUUGCUACCAUUAAGUUGAGCACUCUAGUGAGACUGCCCGGGUUAACCGGGAGGAAGGCGGGGAUGACGUCAAAUCAUCAUGCCCCUUAUGUCUAGGGCUACACACGUGCUACAAUGGUGAGAACAACGAGAUGCAAUACCGCGAGGUGGAGCCAAACUUGAAAACUCAU
rnacentral:rRNA from 1 species